UACGGUAGGGUGCAAGCGUUAAUCGGAAUUACAUGGGCGUAAAGCGUGCGCAGGCGGUUAUACAAGACAGAUGUGAAAUCCCCGGGCUCAACCUGGGAAUUGCAUUUGUGACUGUAUGGCUAGAGUGUGUCAGAGGGGGGUAGAAUUCCACGGUGUAGCAGUGAAAUGCGUAGAUAUGUGGGAGGAAUACCGAUGGCGAAGGCAGCCCCCUGGGAUAACACUGACGCUCAUGCACGGAAAGC
rnacentral:rRNA from 1 species